rnacentral:rRNA from 1 species
GACGAACGCUGGCGGCGUGCUUAACACAUGCAAGUCGAACGGAAAGGCCCUGCUUUUGUGGGGUGCUCGAGUGGCGAACGGGUGAGUAACACGUGAGUAACCUGCCCUUGACUUUGGGAUAACUUCAGGAAACUGGGGCUAAUACCGGAUAGGAGCUCCUGCUGCAUGGUGGUGGUUGGAAAGUUUCGGCGGUUGGGGAUGGACUCGCGGCUUAUCAGCUUGUUGGUGGGGUAGUGGCUUACCAAGGCUUUGACGGGUAGCCGGCCUGAGAGGGUGACCGGCCACAUGGGGACUGAGAUACGGCCCAGACUGCUACGGGAGGCAGCAGUGGGGAAUAUUGCACAAUGGGCGGAAGCCUGAUGCAGCAACGCCGCGUGCGGGAUGACGGCCUUCGGGUUGUAAACCGCUUUCGCCUGUGACGAAGCGUGAGUGACGGUAAUGGGUAAAGAAGCACCGGCUAACUACGUG